AGAAUGUUUAUAUGAUCACUUCAAUCAUUACCUUAUUAACCCCCUUCACAUUAUUCUCUCAUCAUGCAUUCCAUGCAAAAAAAAUUAUAAAAUAAAAAAAUAUCCCUUCAAUUCAAUCAUAUAUCAUUACUUCGACUUCGAUUACCCAAUCACAUAGACGGGUUUUCAGUGGGCAAUCAUUAUGAGAAGAUUAAAUCGACC
rnacentral:lncRNA from 1 species